rnacentral:lncRNA from 1 species
UUCCUCUCUAACCAAAUACACCAAAAAAUACAAGCAGGUAUCAUAAUCCAGAUCUUCUUGAUGACUUUGUCAACUUUCCAUAGACUCCAAUUCUCAUAUGCAUCCUUAACAGCACAAUAUAAGCUGAGCUAAUGAGUUAGUAAAAUCCUGAAGUUGUUCUGCAUUAACAGCAUGAUACAAGUUGGUCCAACUAAACAAAUUUUCAGUGCACCUAGUCUUCAAAAUGCCUAAAGCAGUUGACUCUCCAUCAAAACAUCUCUUGUUCCUCUCUAACCAAAUACACCAAAAAAUACAAGCAGGUAUCAUAAUCCAGAUCUUCUUGAUGACUUUGUCAACUUUCCAUAGACUCCAAUUCUCAUAUGCAUCCUUAACAGCACAAUAUAAGCUGAGCUAAUGAGUUAGUAAAAUCCUGAAGUUGUUCUGCAUUAACAGCAUGAUACAAGUUGGUCCAACUAAACAAAUUUUCAGUGCACCUAGUCUUCAAAAUGCCUAAAGCAGUUGACUCUCCAUCAAAACAUCUCUUG